GCCGCCGCGCUGCGCUCCCCCCGGCCGGCCGCCUCUGCCGCUGUGCUCGGGCAGUCCCGAGCAGCCGUCGCUCCGCGCCCCCGCAGCUGUGCGGAAAUAGCUCCCCUCUCCCCCGUGCGCCGCUUCUGCUGGGGCUCUUAACGAGCGUGUGCAACGUUUUUACCUUCACCGACUUUCUUCACGUACACUGGGCAUCCACAAACUACUGCUGUGGUCUUGCGUGGUGCACCGUGUGCAGGCUGCUGAAGUACGCUGACUCGCAGAACGUGACGACAGACUCUGCUGAUGGCUGUCCCCUUGCACAGCAUUGCAGCUGGAAUGGAUCUUGGUGCAAGCAAAGGCAGGGAGGCUGGAAGAGUUGCAAGCACCCUAAUUCUCUGUGUAGUU
ensembl:lncRNA